AGUGAACGCUGGCGGUAGGCCUAACACAUGCAAGUCGAACGGCAGCACAGUAAGAGCUUGCUCUUACGGGUGGCGAGUGGCGGACGGGUGAGGAAUACAUCGGAAUCUACUUUUUCGUGGGGGAUAACGUAGGGAAACUUACGCUAAUACCGCAUACGACCUACGGGUGAAAGCAGGGGAUCUUCGGACCUUGCGCGAUUGAAUGAGCCGAUGUCGGAUUAGCUAGGUGGCGGGGUAAAGGCCCACCAAGGCGACGAUCCGUAGCUGGUCUGAGAGGAUGAUCAGCCACACUGGAACUGAGACACGGUCCAGACUCCUACGGGAGGCAGCAGUGGGGAAUAUUGGACAAUGGGCGCAAGCCUGAUCCAGCCAUACUGCGUGGGUGAAGAAGGCCUUCGGGUUGUAAAGCCCUUUUGUUGGGAAAGAAAAGCAGCAGGUUAAUACCCCGCUGUUCUGACGGUACCCAAAGAAUAAGCACCGGCUAACUUCGUG
rnacentral:rRNA from 1 species